rnacentral:misc_RNA from 1 species
GAUGAAGAACGCAGCGAAAUGCGAUACGUAAUGUGAAUUGCAGAAUUCAGUGAAUCAUCGAAUCUUUGAACGCAUAUUGCGCUCUCUGGUAUUCCGGAGAGCAUGCUUGUUUGAGUAUCAGUAAACACCUCAACUUCCAUAUCUUUUUUGAAAUGGGAGUUGGACUUGAGUGAUCCCAACGCUUUUCCUCACCGAAAAGUGGCGGGUUACUUGAAAUGCAGGUGCAGCUGGACUUUUCUCUGAGCUAUAAGCAUAUCUAUUUAGUCUGCCUAAAAACAGAUUAUUACCUUUGCUGCAGCUAACAUAAAGGAGAUUAGUUCUUGUGCUGACUGAUGCAGGAUUCACAAAGACAGGCUUCGGCCGACUUUGUAAACUCGAUCUCAAAUCAAGUAAGACUACCCGCUGAACUUAAGCAUAUCAUAAGCGGAGGA